GGGCCUAUAGCUCAGCGGUAGAGCAUCCGGCUCAUAACCGGACGGUCCCUGGUUCGAUCCCAGGUGGGCCCACCA
rnacentral:tRNA from 1 species